GAUGAACGCUGGCGGCGUGCCUAAUACAUGCAAGUCGAGCGAACAGAUGAGGAGCUUGCUCCUCUGACGUUAGCGGCGGACGGGUGAGUAACACGUGGAUAACCUACCUAUAAGACUGGGAUAACUUCGGGAAACCGGAGCUAAUACCGGAUAAUAUAUUGAACCGCAUGGUUCAAUAGUGAAAGACGGUUUUGCUGUCACUUAUAGAUGGAUCCGCGCCGCAUUAGCUAGUUGGUAAGGUAACGGCUUACCAAGGCAACGAUGCGUAGCCGACCUGAGAGGGGGGUCGGCCACACUGGAACUGAGACACGGUCCAGACUCCUACGGGAGGAAGCAGUAGGGAAUCUUCCGCAAUGGGCGAAAGCCUGACGGAGCAACGCCGCGUGAGUGAUGAAGGUCUUCGGAUCGUAAAACUCUGUUAUUAGGGAAGAACAAAUGUGUAAGUAACUGUGCACGUCUUGACGGUACCUAAUCAGAAAGCCACGGCUAACUACGUG
rnacentral:rRNA from 1 species